ACAGACUAAAGGCCCAGUGUAAUGGUAAUCGUCUCUCUGAUUAAACAGACUAAAGGCCCAGUGUAAUGGUAAUCGUCUCUCUGAUUAAACAGACUAAAGGCCCAGUGUAAUGGUAAUCGUCUGAUUAAACAGACUAAAGGCCCAGUGUAAUGGUAAUCGUCUCUCUCUCUCCUCCAGGUCACUCCUACUCUAAGACCCUCCAACAGGCUCCUCUCUCUGUCCUCCAGGUCGCUCCUACUCUAAGACCCUCCAACAGGCUCCUCUCUCUCUCCUCCAGGUCACUCCUACUCUAAGACCCUCCAACAGGCUCCUCUCUCUCUCCUCCAGGUCGCUCCUACUCUAAGACCCUCCAACAGGCUCCUCUCUCUGUCCUCCAGGUCGCUCCUACUCUAAGACCCUCCAACAGGCUCCUCUCUCUCUCCUCCAGGUCGCUCCUACUCUAAGACCCUCCAACAGGCUCCUCUCUCUGUCCUCCAGGUCGCUCCUACUCUAAGACCCUCCAACAGGCUCCUCUCUCUCUCCUCCAGGUCGCUCCUACUCUAAGACCCUCCAACAGGCUCCUCUCUCUGUCCUCCAGGUCGCUCCUACUCUAAGACCCUCCAACAGGCUCCUCUCUCUCUCCUCCAGGUCGCUCCUACUCUAAGACCCUCCAACAGGCUCCUCUCUCUCUCCUCCAGGUCGCUCCUACUCUAAGACCCUCCAACAGGCUCCUCUCUCUCUCCUCCAGGUCGCUCCUACUCUAAGACCCUCCAACAGGCUCCUCUCUCUCUGUCCUCCAGGUCGCUCCUACUCUAAGACCCUCCAACAGGCUCCUCUCUCUCUCCUCCAGGUCGCUCCUACUCUAAGACCCUCCAACAGGCUCCUCUCUCUCUCCUCCAGGUCGCUCCUACUCUAAGACCCUCCAACAGGCUCCUCUCUCUGUCCUCCAGGUCGCUCCUACUCUAAGACCCUCCAACAGGCUCCUCUCUCUGUCCUCCAGGUCGCUCCUACUCUAAGACCCUCCAACAGGCUCCUCUCUCUCUCCUCCAGGUCACUCCUACUCUAAGACCCUCCAACAGGCUCCUCUCUCUCUCCUCCAGGUCGCUCCUACUCUAAGACCCUCCAACAGGCUCCUCUCUCUGUCCUCCAGGUCGCUCCUACUCUAAGACCCUCCAACAGGCUCCUCUCUCUCUCCUCCAGGUCGCUCCUACUCUAAGACCCUCCAACAGGCUCCUCUCUCUGUCCUCCAGGUCGCUCCUACUCUAAGACCCUCCAACAGGCUCCUCUCUCUGUCCUCCAGGUCGCUCCUACUCUAAGACCCUCCAACAGGCUCCUCUCUCUCUCCUCCAGGUCGCUCCUACUCUAAGACCCUCCAACAGGCUCCUCUCUCUCUCCUCCAGGUCGCUCCUACUCUAAGACCCUCCAACAGGCUCCUCUCUCUGUCCUCCAGGUCGCUCCUACUCUAAGACCCUCCAACAGGCUCCUCUCUCUCUCCUCCAGGUCGCUCCUACUCUAAGACCCUCCAACAGGCUCCUCUCUCUCUCCUCCAGGUCGCUCCUACUCUAAGACCCUCCAACAGGCUCCUCUCUCUCUCCUCCAGGUCGCUCCUACUCUAAGACCCUCCAACAGGCUCCUCUCUCUCUCCUCCAGGUCGCUCCUACUCUAAGACCCUCCAACAGGCUCCUCUCUCUCUCCUCCAGGUCGCUCCUACUCUAAGACCCUCCAACAGGCUCCUCUCUCUGUCCUCCAGGUCGCUCCUACUCUAAGACCCUCCAACAGGCUCCUCUCUCUCUCCUCCAGGUCGCUCCUACUCUAAGACCCUCCAACAGGCUCCUCUCUCUGUCCUCCAGGUCGCUCCUACUCUAAGACCCUCCAACAGGCUCCUCUCUCUCUCCUCCAGGUCGCUCCUACUCUAAGACCCUCCAACAGGCUCCUCUCUCUCUCCUCCAGGUCGCUCCUACUCUAAGACCCUCCAACAGGCUCCUCUCUCUCUCCUCCAGGUCGCUCCUACUCUAAGACCCUCCAACAGGCUCCUCUCUCUGUCCUCCAGGUCGCUCCUACUCUAAGACCCUCCAACAGGCUCCUCUCUCUCUCCUCCAGGUCGCUCCUACUCUAAGACCCUCCAACAGGCUCCUCUCUCUCUCCUCCAGGUCACUCCUACUCUAAGACCCUCCAACAGGCUCCUCUCUCUCUCCUCCAGGUCGCUCCUACUCUAAGACCCUCCAACAGGCUCCUCUCUCUCUCCUCCAGGUCGCUCCUACUCUAAGACCCUCCAACAGGCUCCUCUCUCUGUCCUCCAGGUCGCUCCUACUCUAAGACCCUCCAACAGGCUCCUCUCUCUCUCCUCCAGGUCGCUCCUACUCUAAGACCCUCCAACAGGCUCCUCUCUCUCUCCUCCAGGUCACUCCUACUCUAAGACCCUCCAACAGGCUCCUCUCUCUCUCCUCCAGGUCGCUCCUACUCUAAGACCCUCCAACAGGCUCCUCUCUCUGUCCUCCAGGUCGCUCCUACUCUAAGACCCUCCAACAGGCUCCUCUCUCUCUCCUCCAGGUCACUCCUACUCUAAGACCCUCCAACAGGCUCCUCUCUCUCUCCUCCAGGUCACUCCUACUCUAAGACCCUCCAACAGGCUCCUCUCUCUGUCCUCCAGGUCGCUCCUACUCUAAGACCCUCCAACAGGCUCCUCUCUCUCUCCUCCAGGUCGCUCCUACUCUAAGACCCUCCAACAGGC